GGCAGUUCUCGGGUGAUGUACCCCAGAAUCGAGCUCCCUCCUCUCCGGUUCCAGGUGCGUCACCCGAGAACCGCA
rfam:Myotis davidii contig156927, whole genome shotgun sequence.